ensembl:processed_transcript
GACAAGUUAGAGAGCAGGCCAGGAAAACAGGAGCAGGAAGAAUUGAGAGCAGACUUUAUAAAGAAUGGAGGACCAAAAGCAAAGCUGCCCUUCAUCCCGGAAGAGUCAGAAAGACCUUCUACAAAAUGAGGAACUCACAUGGCCUCAGACGUGCUCUCUAGCCAAGGAUAACCUUUAACUUGCUGAGCCUCUAGGAAGACCACAGCAUAUACCCAAGCUUCCUGCAAAAACUCCUCAAAUUACAAUCUCUUCUGGACCAGAGCUGCCCUUCACGUGCUGGGAUUGCAGGUGAAGCCCAUGUAUGUGUAUGUGAGUGAAUACCACAUAUGUGCAGGUAUCAUGGAGGCCAGAGAGGGUUUGAAACUUGGAACUAGAGUGAUAUAUAGUUGUGAGCCAUUUGGAGUGGGUACUAGAAACCAAAAUCCCAUCCUCCUCAGGAAAAGCAAGUGU